rnacentral:rRNA from 1 species
CCCUUAGAUGUUCUGGGCCGCACGCGUGCUACACUGAGUGGAUCAGCGGGUCAGGUUGCGCGAAAGCGUUUCCUAAUCUUUAAAUCCGCUCGUGAUGGGGAUUGACGGUUGCAAUUUUCUGUCAUGAACGAGGAAUACCUUGUAAGCGCGGGUCAUCAUCCCGCGCUGAAUACGUCCCUGCCCUUUGUACACACCGCCCGUCGCUCCUACCGAUUGAGUGGUCCGGUGAGGCUUUGGGAUCUGAGCGGAAAGAGCGUUUCGCUGUUUCUGCUCGGAAAACUCAGUCGAACCUUAUCAUUUAGAGGAAGCAGAAGUCGUAACA